rnacentral:rRNA from 1 species
AACCUCCGCAAUGUGAGAAAUCGCGACGGGGGGAUCCCAAGUGCCAUUCUUAACGGGAUGGCUUUUCAUUAGUGUAAAGAGCUUUUGGAAUAAGGGCUGGGCAAGACCGGUGCCAGCCGCCGCGGUAACACCGGCAGCUCUAGUGGUAGCAGUUUUUAUUGGGCCUAAAGCGUCCGUAGCCGGUUUAAUAAGUCUCUGGUGAAAUCCUGUAGCUUAACUGUGGGAAUUGCUGGAGAUACUAUUAGACUUGAGACCGGGAGAGGUUAGAGGUACUCUCAGGGUAGAGGUGAAAUUCUGUAAUCCUGGGAGGACCGCCUGUUGCGAAGGCGUCUAACUGGAACGGUUCUGACGGUGAGGGACGAAAGUUAGGGGCGCGAACCGGAUUAGAUACCCGGGUAGUCCUAACCGUAAACGAUGCGGACUUGGUGUUGGGGUGGCUUUGAGCUGCUCCAGUGCCGAAGGGAAGCUGUUAAGUCCGCCGCCUGGGAAGUACGGUCGCAAGACUGAAACUUAAAGGAAUU